rnacentral:tRNA from 1 species
GGAGGUGUAGGUCAGUGGUAAGAGUUCUUGCUUAGCAUGCAGGAACCUGGGUUGAGUCCCCAGUAUUGUAA